AGGUAACACGUGGGUAACCUGCCCGGAAGUGGGGAAUACCUCGGGGAAACUCGAGCUAAUACCGCAUGACAUCUUCGGGACGAAAGUCCUGACGAUCAAAGCGGGGUCGCAAGAUCUCGCGCUACCGGAUGGGCCCGCGCCCGAUUAGCUAGUUGGUGAGGUAACGGCUCACCAAGGCUUCGAUCGGUAACCGGCCUGAGAGGGCGAUCGGUCACACCGGAACUGAGACACGGUCCGG
rnacentral:rRNA from 1 species